GGGGGCGACCAGGUUUCGACGAGGGUGGCAAAGCUCAAGGUGCAUGCCGAGGCGCAACAUACCUCGUAAAUCCAGUUGCAAACCUCAAUAGUUGCCAACGACGACAACUACGCUCUGGCGGCUUAGCGGCCCCAGCUCCUUCCCGGCACGUGCUUGUGCGUUCGGAUAGAGGAGUCACCCAACACAAGAUCGCGAGGACGGGCGGCCCGCGCCUGAAGUCGCUAAAGCUCAAGCGGGCUCGCCGGUUGCAACCCUGCCCGUCGGGGGGCGACCGGUCAAACUGAAAGACGCGGCUAAGCAUGUAGAGCCGAAAGUGGAGCGCCAGCGGACGCGGGUUCGAUUCCCGCCGCCUCCACCA
rnacentral:tmRNA from 1 species